AGUGAACGCUGGCGGUAGGCCUAACGCAUGCAAGUCGAACGGCAGCACAGGAGAGCUUGCUCUCUGGGUGGCGAGUGGCGGACGGGUGAGGAAUACAUCGGAAUCUACUCUGUCGUGGGGGAUAACGUAGGGAAACUUACGCUAAUACCGCAUACGACCUACGGGUGAAAGCAGGGGAUCUUCGGACCUUGCGCGAUUGAAUGAGCCGAUGGCGGAUUAGCUAGUUGGCGGGGUAAAGGCCCACCAAGGCGACGAUCCGUAGCUGGUCUGAGAGGAUGAGCAGCCACACUGGAACUGAGACACGGUCCAGACUCCUACAGGAGGCAGCAGUGGGGAAUAUUGGACAAUGGGCGCAAGCCUGAUCCAGCCAUACCGCGUGGGUGAAGAAGGCCUUCGGGUUGUAAAGCCCUUUUGUUGGGAAAGAAAUCCAGCUGGCUAAUACCCGGUUGGGAUGACGGUACCCAAAGAAUAAGCACCGGCUAACUUCGUGCCAGCAGCCGCUGUAA
rnacentral:rRNA from 1 species